AUGUCCACCACUAUUUUGUUUUCAUGGUACCCACAUUUGUCUCAUGGAUCCAGCGUUCUUUCUCCUUGCACUGUUAGUUCCAGGGCUUGUAGGAAUUUACAGUUCAGGUGUAAAUUGAAAAAUGUUGACCAACUGCUGGAGAUAAGGCACAGAAAAUUAUGGAGGUGGUGGAAGGACAAGAAGGAGAGUGAACAAGUGAGGAAGACAAAGACCUGAAAGUUGGAGAGAUGAAGGCUAAGACAGAAGUCACUCAAUUCUUGAAUUUACUGAGGAAAGUGACAGACGGGACUGUGGAGUAGUACAAAUGUGUCCCAUGUCAUAAGACUUCAUUCCUAUUGCCUGCUGGCUCACGACUUCACAAAGGAGCUAUGGAUGGGACAGAACCCAAGAGGAAAACUAACAGCCUUGGUCUGAGGAAUGUUUUCAUGAGCAAUGGCUUUUCGCCCUUGAGAGUCAAUUCUCCAAACAGAAGAAAAGCCAAUGAGCACCUCAUUCAGGAUGGGCUGAGCACACUUCUAAUCUUACAGGGUUCUUCAUGUGAAAGGCUGAGCACUAGGGGUCAGAAAUCACUAGACAUUCUCUUUUAUAAAGCAGCAAUUGUUCACAAAUUUUCUGCAUACUUUGAAUACAAUUUGUUUCGACUGGUUUUAAAGAAUGUGAUUUGCUAUUUGUUCUUGGGGACAUCACCUACCAUUGUAUUUGCAACAACACAACAACAACAACAACAACAACAACAACAACAUUGGCCUACUGCAGUAUUUGUUUUCUUUGUUGUUUCAGGUUUCAGGUUAUUACAUGCAUAUCCUUCCAUACAAAUGAGAUAUGCUGGAUAUUACAGCUGUUUCUACAGAACUAGAGAAAAAGUGCACAGCAUGCUGGAGCACUGAGGAGUAAAACAAGAAGGAUGGGUCACCUAUGGCAGCAUGAGACGAGGACCUGCUGAGUCCACUGGUGCAACUCAGACAAAGUAAAUGUCCAGCCAUUUGUAUCUCUACCUAUCACAAACCAUUUCCAGGAGUUCACCGAGCUGGAAUAAAGCUCAAUAAAAACUUUGUCCA
rnacentral:lncRNA from 1 species